UUCACCCAUGGUUGUUUGUUCCUCUUCUUCUUCGUCUUCUUCGUUAGGCUU
rnacentral:sRNA from 1 species